CGCGUGGUUCUAUUUUGUUGGUUUUUAGAACCGCCGUAAUGAUUAAUAGGGACAGUCGGGGGCAUCUGUAUUCAAUUGUCAGAGGUGAAAUUCUUGGAUCUAUUGAAGACAAACUACUGCGAAAGCAUUUGCCAAGGAUGUUUUCAUUGAUAAGGAACGAAAGUUAGGGGAUCGAAGACGAUCAGAUACCGUCGUAGUCUUAACUAUAAACUAUGCCGACUAGGGAUCGGACGAUGUUAUUUUUUGACUCGUUCGGCACCUUUCGAGAAAUCAAAGUGCUUGGGCUCCAGGGGGAGUAUGGUCGCAAGGCUGAAACUUAAAGAAAUUGACGGAAGGGCACACCAGGGGUGGAACCUGCGGCUUAAUUUGACUCAACACGGGGAAACUCACCAGGUCCAGACACAGUGAGGAUUGACAGAUUGAUAGCUCUUUCUUGAUUCUGUGGGUGGUGGUGCAUGGCCGUUCUUAGUUGGUGGAGUGAUUUGUCUGCUUAAUUGCGAUAACGAACGAGACCUUAACCUGCUAAAUAGCCCGUUCUGCUCCGGCAGUACGCUGGCUUCUUAGAGGGACUAUCGGCUCAAGCCGAUGGAAGUUUGAGGCAAUAACAGGUCUGUGAUGCCCUUAGAUGUCCUGGGCCGCACGCGCGUUACACUGACAAAGCCAGCGAGUAUUUCCUUAGCCGGAAGGCUUGAGUAAUCUUGUUAAACUUAGUCGUGC
rnacentral:rRNA from 1 species